AAGUCGUAACAAGGUUUCCGUAGGUGAACCUGCGGAAGGAUCAUUAAUGAAUGAACAAGGAGUCGGUUGUAGCUGGCCUCUCGCGGGGCAUGUGCACACCUUCUCCCUCAUCCACACACCCCUGUGCACCUGUGAGACGGAGGCCUCGACCUUUUAUCGGGCCGGUUUCCGUCUGUAUAACACAAACUCCUAUCUUAUCUGAAUGUAAACCUGAUGCAAAGCAUCUAACAAUACAAA
rnacentral:misc_RNA from 1 species